AGCCGUGCUUCAACUACGGUUGCGGGAAUCAGAAGCUCUACAAUGCUAUAAUUGCCAUGGGGUACAAAAUGUUAGUGCAUGCACCUCAACGAUGACAUGUGGACCAAAUCAGGCCUGUUAUCACCGCAAGCGAUCUGA